GGUACGUUUCGUAAAAUACUUCAUUCUGAACCCAGGACUCUGCCGAGCUCCCGUGUUGGUUGAGACUUGUAGAAGCAAUGAUUUAUAAAUUACAAACAGCAGCAAAGCAACAGCUGUUUCAGCAUCUGUCAUUGCCUGUGACAGAAAUACACGCAAAGCCCCGGGAACCUCAAGGUGUCAACCCAAGCAACCUGCUGCUACAGGCUUCCAUCAAUCAGAGUGACCGGCGCACGGCCACGGCUCCCAGUGGCAGCAAACAAAUGCUUCCAGCACGCUGCUCUCCGCCUGCCCUGGUGACUAACAGCUCAGGGGAAAAGAAGUUUGCAAGCAAUUUAUGGGUGGAAAAAAAAGCCAUACUUAGCAACGGGAGGAACUCCUUAUCGCCACGGCGGGUGGAGGAGGACGGCACAGCCACGCUCGGGAUGCAAGCUGCACGUUGGAGGAAGAAUAGAUUUUCUUUCUCCUUCGUUAUCCUUUGGCCACAAACGUGUACUUAAAAGUCCU
ensembl:lncRNA